rnacentral:tRNA from 1 species
GCCUGGGUAGCUCAGUUUGUUGAGCUCCCGACUUUGGCUCAGGUCAUGACCUCAUGGUUCAUGGGUUCGAACCCCACUUCAGGCU